rnacentral:lncRNA from 1 species
AACAGAUAAUUAAUUAACAUCUAAAAAACUAAACAAUUAAACAAAUAAUCAAAUAAUUAAUUAUUAAUUUAAACAAAAUAAAAGUAAAAAUAAAAAAGGGGCAUGUAGUAAAUGAGAUGCAUUAAAUAAAGACAAUGGGCUUAACUUAAUGAAAUAACUCAGCCCAAACAUCAAUAAAUUAUAAACUUAUUCUAACAAUAAAAAAAAUAAUAAAUAUAUAUAAAAUAGAAAUAUAAAAUAGAAAGAUAAAAAUAAUAAAAUAAAUAAAAACACAAGUGAGGAACCGUCCCCUCUAUUUUAUUUUUAAAAAAAUAUUCUUUAGUGAGUCAUCAAAUGGACUUUUCAAAUUAAGUUAAAUAACUUUUAUUAUUAACCAAAAAGAGGAAACAUUUUGCACUGUGAAUGAAAACAACGUAACAACAUUCUUCUUCCUCUUAUUAAAAACAAAACACCACUCUUCUCUUAAUCAACAAAAAAUUUAAACAUUAAAAAACAAAACUAAAUUCUUGAAUCAUUAAUAAACAAGAGAAAACUAGAAGUGAUAGAGUUCAAGAAUUACCGGCGAUGUUUCGUGGUGGUCGGCACCGACAACAGAAGGUGAUGCGGGCGUGAGUGGUGGAUCCGGCGACUUGAAUGUGCAGUUUCAAAUGGUGGUGUAAUAUUUUUUCUUACGAAGGAGAGAUCGUUGUAUGUUGAGAAGCAAGACAUUGUUGUGUUUUUCUUGUGUGGAGUUCACAGCGGAUGGUUGCACGGUAGCGAAUCGGAAAGUUUUAUAAGUUGUAUAUGUGUAUUUAUGGAUGGAGGGAGAUAGGAGUGAUAGUUUGAGUAGCUCACGGAGGGAGUGCGGAAGAAGGUUUGGUAUGGCGGUAUCGUGCGAUAAGGAAAUAUGAGGUUGUUGUUUUUGAUGAUGAGUGAAGGUGAGGUUUUUUUUAGAGAAAUGUUGAAGAAAGAGAAAGGGAUAAUAAAAUGAUGAUGAAGAAGAUGAGAAUCCUAUGAUGUAUCUUUUUUUUUUAAAUGCAGCAUAACAUGGGUGUCUCUAUUGUUACAUGAGUUGCUAAGUUAUUAUAGAAAUAAAAAAAAUCCUUUUUUCCUCCUCAAUUUUUCACAACGUGUUUCCUCUUCUUCUUGUUUUUAGCCUGUGCCUCUGCUACCUUCUGAGUGGAGGAAUAGAUAUCUCAUUUUAUGAGUGGUCCACGCGUCUUCAAUUUAGUGUGAAGGGAGAGUUGUACUAUUUGUGCUACCUGUACUCAUCACUUAAUUGCAAUACCGAAAAAAACAAAAAUGGAAAAAAGAAAACCUUAACAACUAAAGGCCAUGUUCCUCUCUCUCAAUUAGUGACAGUCUUUCAAUAUUUUUCUUCAUGAGACGUUGGGAUUGCAAGUUAGUGGCCCUCCAACAUUUUUCUUCUUCCAAUUAGACUAGGACACACGUCUUUAUUUGGAAAUGGAUAAGGAUGCAAUGUGUAAGUUAUAACUUUUUUUAAAAAUUAUUAUAAACAAAAUC